rnacentral:rRNA from 1 species
AUUGAACGCUGGCGGCAUGCCUUACACAUGCAAGUCGAACGGCAGCGCGGGGGCAACCCUGGCGGCGAGUGGCGAACGGGUGAGUAAUAUAUCGGAACGUACCCAAGAGUGGGGGAUAACGUAGCGAAAGUUACGCUAAUACCGCAUACGAUCUAAGGAUGAAAGCAGGGGACCGCAAGGCCUUGUGCUCCUGGAGCGGCCGAUAUCUGAUUAGCUAGUUGGUGGGGUAAAGGCCUACCAAGGCAUCGAUCAGUAGCUGGUCUGAGAGGACGACCAGCCACACUGGGACUGAGACACGGCCCAGACUCCUACGGGAGGCAGCAGUGGGGAAUUUUGGACAAUGGGGGGCAACCCUGAUCCAGCAAUGCCGCGUGAGUGAAGAAGGCC